rnacentral:rRNA from 1 species
GAGUUUGAUCAUGGCUCAGAACGAACGCUGGCGGCAUGCCUAACACAUGCAAGUCGAGGGGUAUAGGUUUUCGGACCUAGAGACCGGCGCACGGGUGCGUAACGCGUAUGCAAUCUACCUUUUACAGAGGGAUAGCCCAGAGAAAUUUGGAUUAAUACCUCAUAGUAUUAUUGAAUGGCAUCAUUUAAUAAUUAAAGUUCCAACGGUAAAAGAUGAGCAUGCGUCCCAUUAGCUAGAUGGUAAGGUAACGGCUUACCAUGGCGACGAUGGGUAGGGGUCCUGAGAGGGAGAUCCCCCACACUGGUACUGAGACACGGACCAGACUCCUACGGGAGGCAGCAGUGAGGAAUAUUGGUCAAUGGGCGCAAGCCUGAACCAGCCAUGCCGCGUGCAGGAUGACGGUCCUAUGGAUUGUAAACUGCUUUUGUACAGGAAGAAACAGUUCUAACGUGUAGAACCUUGACGGUACUGUAAGAAUAAGGAUCGGCUAACUCCGUGCCAGC